AGUUUUUUUCGCGCUAAAAUCGUUGUGUGUUAAUUUCAACCAUUUGUUGUUAAACAUAUAGAAGAAAUGAAAGAAAGUAGAAAUAUUUCAAAAUAUAUUGAGAAGGAUCUUACAAGUAGUAAGUUUUUUUAAUUCCCUGUGUUACCUUGAAUAUUUAUAUGAAAUACCAUGUAUACAUAUUUCAAGUUUAUUUGGUGUCAUUAUUUCGCAUAUGCUAUAGAAAAAUUUCUUUAUUUUAGGUUGAUGAAAAAAGCGACAAAAAGGAAAUGAGAAGAUUCCCUUUUUUUGAGAAGAAGAAACACAAAUAGAAGAAAAAGUGGAUGAAAAAUCGUUUCGAUACUGAAGACGCACGUGAAAAUGCAGAGGUGAUAAAAAUGUUUAUGCUUGGGUACAUAAAGUUAUUGUAAAUAAAUAUGAGUUAUCAAAUGUCUUCUGAUACUAUAGUGUAAUUUAACGAAUGUGAAUACUAGUUGAUUAUAAAAGAAAAUAAUUUUAAAAA